rnacentral:rRNA from 1 species
UUGAACGCUGGCGGCAGGCCUAACACAUGCAAGUCGAGCGGAUGAAGGGAGCUUUCUCCUGGAUUCAGCGGCGGACGGGUGAGUAAUGCCUAGGAAUCUGCCUGGUAGUGGGGGAUAACGUCCGGAAACGGGCGCUAAUACCGCAUACGUCCUGAGGGAGAAAGUGGGGGAUCUUCGGACCUCACGCUAUCAGAUGAGCCUAGGUCGGAUUAGCUAGUUGGUGGGGUAAAGGCCUACCAAGGCGACGAUCCGUAACUGGUCUGAGAGGAUGAUCAGUCACACUGGAACUGAGACACGGUCCAGACUCCUACGGGAGGCAGCAGUGGGGAAUAUUGGACUAUGGGCGAAAGCCUGAUCCAGCCAUGCCGCGUGUGUGAAGAAGGUCUUCGGAUUGUAAAGCACUUUAAGUUGGGAGGAAGGGCAGUAAGUUAAUACCUUGCUGUUUUGACGUUACCAACAGAAUAAGCACCGGCUAACUUCGUG